UGAGGAAUAUUGGUCAAUGGGCGCAAGCCUGAACCAGCCAUCCCGCGUGAAGGAAGAAGGCGCUAUGCGUCGUAAACUUCUUUUCCAGGGGGAGAAUUUUCCGGUCGUGACCGGAAUUGACGGUACUCUGGGAAUAAGCAUCGGCUAACUCCGUGCCAGCAGCCGCGGUAAUACGGAGGAUGCGAGCGUUAUCCGGAUUUAUUGGGUUUAAAGGGUGCGUAGGCGGAUCAAUAAGUCAGUGGUGAAAUUCUGCAGCUUAACUGUAGACUUGCCAUUGAUACUGUUGGUCUUGAGUAUGGUCAAGGUAGGCGGAAUGUGUAAUGUAGCGGUGAAAUGCUUAGAUAUUACACAGAACACCGAUUGCGAAGGCAGCUUACUAAACUGUUACUGACGCUGAUGCACGAAAGCGUGGGGAGCGAACA
rnacentral:rRNA from 1 species